GUACGAGAGGAACGGAGGGCCGGGGCCAACGGUGUACCGGUCGUCCUACAGGGCGGCGCCGGGUAGCCGCGCCCUUGAGGAUAAGGGCUGAAAGCAUCUAAGCCCGAAGCCUCUCCCAAAAAUAGGCGGCCGAUCGGGGCCUAUAGGGCUCGGCAACGGGCCUUGGGCUCCGACGAGGGCUCCCCUAGAAGAGGGGGUUGAUGGGGUGGGCGUGUAAGGGUGGAGGCUUAGGCCGGACACCCUCAGCGCACCACUCCCAAUCGCCCGAGCCGCUUAGGAA
rnacentral:rRNA from 1 species